ACCCGUCUAGCUCAGUCGGUAGAGCGCCAGCCUUUUAAGCUGGUGGUCGAGGGUUCGAGCCCCUCGGUGGGUG
rfam:Tetrahymena thermophila SB210 genomic scaffold scf_8254716, whole genome shotgun sequence.